rnacentral:rRNA from 1 species
AUUGAACGCUGGCGGCAGGCUUAACACAUGCAAGUCGAGCGGGGUGAUGGUGCUUGCACUAUCACUUAGCGGCGGACGGGUGAGUAAUGCUUAGGAAUCUGCCUAUUAGUGGGGGACAACAUCUCGAAAGGGAUGCUAAUACCGCAUACGUCCUACGGGAGAAAGCAGGGGAUCACUUGUGACCUUGCGCUAAUAGAUGAGCCUAAGUCGGAUUAGCUAGUUGGUGGGGUAAAGGCCUACCAAGGCGACGAUCUGUAGCGGGUCUGAGAGGAUGGUCCGCCACACUGGGACUGAGACACGGGCCAGACCCCUACGGGAGGUAGCAGUGGGGAAUAUUGGACAAUGGGGGGAACCCUGAUCCAGCCAUGCCGCGUGUGUGAAGAAGGCCUUAUGGUUGUAAAGCACUUUAAGCGAGGAGGAGGCUACUGAGACUAAUACUCUUGGAUAGUGGACGUUACUCGCAGAAUAAGCACCGGCUAACUCUGUGCCAGCCGCCGCCGUAA